CACUCCUGCGGGAGGCAGCAGUGGGGAAUUUUGGACAAUGGGCGAAAGCCUGAUCCAGCAAUGCCGCGUGAGUGAAGAAGGCCUUCGGGUUGUAAAGCUCUUUUGUCAGGGAAGAAACGGUGAGAGCUAAUAUCUUUUGCUAAUGACGGUACCUGAAGAAUAAGCACCGGCUAACUACGUGCCAGCAGCCGCGGUAAUACGUAGGGUGCAAGCGUUAAUCGGAAUUACUGGGCGUAAAGCGUGCGCAGGCGGUUUUGUAAGUCUGAUGUGAAAUCCCCGGGCUCAACCUGGGAAUUGCAUUGGAGACUGCAAGGCUAGAAUCUGGCAGAGGGGGGUAGAAUUCCACGUGUAGCAGUGAAAUGCGUAGAUAUGUGGAGGAACACCGAUGGCGAAGGCAGCCCCCUGGGUCAAGAUUGACGCUCAUGCACGAAAGCGUGGGGAGCAAACAGGAUUAGAAACCCCGGUAGUCCCAUG
rnacentral:rRNA from 1 species